UUGGUUCCGGCAUACCUAUACAUGCAGUCGAGCGCAGGAAGCCGUCGUGAACCCUUCGGGGGGACGACGGUGGAAUGAGCGGCGGACGGGUGAGUAACACGUAAAGAACCUGCCCAUAGGUCUGGGAUAACCACGAGAAAUCGGGGCUAAUACCGGAUGUGUCAUCGGACCGCAUGGUCCGCUGAUGAAAGGCGCUCCGGCGUCGCCCAUGGAUGGCUUUGCGGUGCAUUAGCUAGUUGGUGGGGUAACGGCCCACCAAGGCGACGAUGCAUAGCCGACCUGAGAGGGUGAUCGGCCACACUGGGACUGAGACACGGCCCAGACUCCUACGGGAGGCAGCAGUAGGGAAUCUUCCACAAUGGACGAAAGUCUGAUGGAGCAACGCCGCGUGAACGAUGAAGGCUUUCGGGUCGUAAAGUUCUGUUGUAAGGGAAGAACAAGUGCCGCAGGCAAUGGCGGCACCUUGACGGUACCUUGCGAGAAAGCCACGGCUAACUACGUGCCAGCAGCCGCGGUAAUACGUAGGUGGCAAGCGUUGUCCGGAAUUAUUGGGCGUAAAGCGCGCGCAGGCGGCCUCUUAAGUCUGAUGUGAAAGCCCCCGGCUCAACCGGGGAGGGCCAUUGCAAACUGGGAGGCUUGAGUAUAGGAGAGAAGAGUGGAAUUCCACGUGUAGCGGUGAAAUGCGUAGAGAUGUGGAGAACACCAGUGGCGAAGGCGACUCUUUGGCCUAUAACUGACGCUGAGGCGCGAAGCGUGGGAGCAAACAGAUUAGAUACCCUGGUAGUCCACGCCGUAAACGAUGAGUGCUAGGUGUUGAGGCUUCCGCCCUUCAGUGCUGAAGCUACGCAUUAGCACUCCGGCUGGGAGUACGUCGCAAGCUGAACUCGAAGGACUGGACGGGCACCCCGCCAAGCGGUGGAGCAUGUGGUAGUCGAGCACGCGAGACUUUACCACUCUGACUCCCUGAACGGUACAGAGAUUGACCUUCCUUACGGGGCAGGUUACCGUGGCAAUGUGCCCGCAAGCUCGGUCGAAUUGUUAAGUCCCAACAGAGCCACCCUG
rnacentral:rRNA from 1 species